AAUUUACAAUUCUAUUAUUCGUACAUAAUUACAAUUUUAGAGAUGGAUCAGACAUAACAGACGGAGAUGUUAUAGCUAUAGUGGUGAUGCUAACAUUCACAGCAGGUAUCCUGAUAUUGGACGCGUAUUUCAUGUUUGCAAAGGAAAAGCGUUCAAGGAAAUUCAAUGCAAAGCGUGACUAUACAGUCAACAAAGAAGACGUUGUAUUUGUUAAAACUUUUGAAAAAAGUAUUUGUAAAUACGCAAAAGGUAAAGAACCUAGAGCGUUUGUUCCAACAUGUACUGAAACUAAGAAGGGUAUUGAAUGGAGGCUUAUUGUUCCUCAAAAUAAUCAGGACAAAGUGCCGAUAAGCCAGGUUUAACAAGGAAUAUACGAUGGAGAGUUCACUGUCAAAUUUUGUAAAAUUAACCUUUCCUUACAUUUCAGAUGUUAUUGUGAAAAUUUCAAUGUUGAAAUUAAUUGUGAUUUCUUUUAUGCGUACAUUUUCAGUUUUACACUAACAUGUCAUAAGUACAGAUAUGGUGUUAAUCAAUUAUUGAAACAAGUACAACCGUAGUCCGCUUUUUAUUUUUUUUUAUCACAAACAACCCUUUAUCAAUGUCAAAUAUUUUAGAUGAUAAGGAAGCUCGAUCUUAUAGAGGAAUAGCCCUUGCUUCUGUAUCAUAUAAGCUAUAUUGUACGAUUCUUAAUGAUCGACUCCCAGAAAGGGUAGAUGAUAAUGAUUUGUUGGUAGAUUAACAGAAUGGGUUCCGUAAGGGUAGAAUCACCAUUGACCAUAAUGCAUCUCUCGCGAAUAUGAUAGAAGUACGUAAAAAGUUUAAGGAAGUCAACACAUUGUGCCUUCAUCGACUUCAAAAAUGCAUAUGACAGCAUAAGACACAUAAAGAGAAUUUACCGACUGCCCCUUUAUACCUAUUGUUCACAUAAUAUUAGAGAAACUACUCAUGUUAACUUCUUUAUUGUUAUUAAAUAACUCAACAUUAUUUGAAAUAUUUUAGAAAUUUUAACUCUCUAAAAUCAAAAUUUAUCCCCAAAAAUUAAGAAAAGGAAAAAAGAGGGCUCAAUAUCCAAGCCACGUCUGUGAAUUAAACAGUUGAUUUCAUUUUUAACAGUUCAUUUAAAUCGUUCUUGGAGUUAUUUUCUGAAGUCGACAUAUUGUGUUUCGUAAGGAUAAAUUAAUAAUGUCCAUGUAAGAAAUGAUUUUACUAUCAUUCUAACUUGUGAGCAAAAUUCACUCUUUUUGGUUAAUCAUGUAACAAUGAUUAUCAUAUGUUUAAAUCAUGUAAGUUAAAAUUUUCAUUUUUAUAAACUGUUUAUUUCACGACACCUUGAAAUGUCACAUGAAAUCCAGGUAUAGCAACAUGAUUGGUCCAAACUUUUAGAAAGUAAAACAGAUUCAAAAACGUAGAAAAAAUACAUAUUGAUUUUUGUAAAAGAAUUUUGAAUGUUAAAACAAGUACACCGAAUGUCAUGGUUUAUUAUGAACUUGGCAGAUUUCCAAUGUAAGUAACCAGGAAAUUGCGUAUAUUUAAAUAUUGGAUUAAGGUAUUGAAUAAUAACAAUUGUAUAUUACUUGGUUGUUACAAUUAUUUAUAUGAUAUGUGUUUGAAGAAUCCGAAUGACAAAAAUAACUGGAUUUGUAAUAUACGAAAGGAAUUGUUCCACCUUGGUUUAAAUGAUCUGUGGUAUUCACAAAAUUCUUUAUGUAAAGAUCAUAUUAUGGUUAUUAAACAGAGACUAUGCGAUAUUGUCAAACAAGAGUUUGAUGCUACUUUAGAUAGUUCAUCAAAAAUGUUUUUUGUAUAGAUAUAUGAUAUCCAAUUUUUCUUUGCAGUCAUAUUUAUGUAAACCAAUACCCGAAAUUUACAAAAAGUGUAUUGUUAAAUUUAGAUUGUAAUCACAUAAUCUAGCUAUAGAGAAGAGAAGGUAUUCUAAUGUAAAAAGAAACCUUAGAACCUGUACAUUGUGUAUUGAUGAUAUUGAGGAUGAAAUGCAUUUUAUUUUAUCAUGUCCUUUAUAUUCAAAUUUGCGUGAAUGUUUGAUAAAACCAUAUUAUUGGCGUAAGCCAUCUGCUUAUAAACCUUUACAAUUAUUAAGCACUACUAAUGUAAAAGACUUGUGCAACUUAGGAAAAUAUAUAUUUAGAGCACUGAAGCUCAGAAAUAACUGUUUUCAGUAAGUUGAUUUGUAAUUCAUUUGUUACAUAUAUUUGCUUUUUGGAAUUAUAUUCAUAUGUAUUUAUUUUUUGUGUAUUUAAUACGUCUGUAUGUUUUGUCAUGAUCGUAUAAUUUUGUAAUCUAUAUUUAGUAUAUAUUGAUUAUACAUGUACCUAUAUGUUGUAAAACAUUUGGUUAAUAAAGAAUUGUAUCAUAUAACAAAAGAUUAAUAUCAGAAUUUAAAAGUCUUUCUAACAAUAGUUAACUCCGAACUUUAAUUGGCAUCACUAGCGGAUACCUCCCUAGCUCUGUUCGCACUAUUUGAUAAAGAUUUCCUCGUUCCAAGGAUAUACUUACAAAAAGACAAAUAUAACUUUUUCAAGCAUAAUAUAGCUGUGAAUGUAAUAAGGUUAUAUUUAUUUGAUAUCUUUGAACGUUGAUCUACUCUAUGUUUUGAAAUAUAUGUGCCCAUAUAAUGCAAUUUAUGUACGUUGUUUCGGUCUGACUGAAGAGUCAAAAAUGUUCAACGCUACUUUUACUGACACAUAAUGUAAAGAAUAAAAUUUUAAUGGUGUUCUGUUUAAAAUAAAUAUAUGUUGUGUUAUUGUA